AACGAACGCUGGCGGCAUGCCAACACAUGCAAGUCGAACGAGACCUUCGGGUCUAGUGGCGCACGGGUGCGUAACGCGUGGGGACCUGCCCUUAGGUUCGGAAUAACUCCCCGAAAGGGGUGCUAAUACCGGAUAAUGUCUUCGGACCAAAGAUUUAUCGCCUUUGGAUGGGCCCGCGUUGGAUUAGCUAGUUGGUAGGGUAAAAGCCUACCAAGGCGACGAUCCAUAGCUGGUCUGAGAGGAUGAUCAGCCACACUGGGACUGAGACACGGCCCAGACUCCUACGGGAGGCAGCAGUGGGGAAUAUUGGACAAUGGGCGAAAGCCUGAUCCAGCAAUGCCGCGUGAGUGAUGAAGGCCUUAGGGUUGUAAAGCUCUUUUACCCGGGAUGAUAAUGACAGUACCGGGAGAAUAAGCUCCGGCUAACUCCGUG
rnacentral:rRNA from 1 species